CCCUUAGAUGUUCUGGGCCGCACACGCGCUACACUGAAGGAGGCAGCGUGUACUCCUGGAUCGAAAGAUUUGGGUAACCCGCGAAUCUCCUUCGUGCUAGGGAUUGAGGUUUGCAAUUAUCUUUCAUGAACGAGGAAUUCCCAGUAAGUGCAAGUCAUAAGCUUGCGCUGACUACGUCCCUGCCCUUUGUACACACCGCCCGUCGCUACUACCGAUUGAAUGAUUUAGUGAGGACUUCGGACUGGGACCGAUGCGGCUUUCGGGCUGCGUCGGUAUUCUGGAAAGAUGUCCAAACUGUAUCAUUUAGAGGAAGUAAAAGUCGUANCA
rnacentral:rRNA from 1 species